rnacentral:ncRNA from 1 species
GUCCCGCUGUACCGAAAAGUCUCCGUAGGGUGGCCUGCCAGCCGAGCGGCUGGAUAGGAGGCGGGACGCAC